UUUUUUUUUGAGGGAAACAUUAUGGUGUCUUAAUUGUCAUCAAUUUAUUUUCUUGUAUUGAUCCCACCUUGGUAUUCAUGGCUACUACAUUAGAAAGAAUGAGUUACAAAAGAGAUGAGAAUAAAAACUAUGUUAAAGAGAGCUUUUAUAAAGAUGCUUUAGGGUUACUUGUAGAUUCUAAGGAUCCGGUCUAAAAGGAAUAAAAUAUUUGUGCUUUGAAAAUACGAUUUCUAUGUUGAUUGAGGAUCUGGAUUUACUGCUGUAGCAAAUUCAAACAGUGCCGCAGUAGCAAAUUUCAGCCAGCAAUCCAUGAUAUGACGGGUCCAAAUUCACAGGACAGCUGAGAUUUGCUACUGCGGCAAACUGUGUGAAUUUGCUACAGCAGCAAAUCCAAAUCCGUCGAUUGAUAUGGCUCAAAUGAUGGAUCAUCUCAUUACUCACCAUAUUUUUCCUCCACCACCACCCUAGACCACUCCUAUUAUUGUUGCUUCAUAUUUAAAGUUUCAUAUAUCUAUUUUAUUAUUUUAUGUUUGUGUAUGUUGCAUUUGAUUGUUUUGAUGUAUAAUCCCUUUUGAAAAUUUUGUAGACUAUGAUUUAUACAAAAAUUAAUAUGUACUCAAUUUCACGAGGACAUUUGAAAAUGUGUUUAAUAC
rnacentral:lncRNA from 1 species